rnacentral:rRNA from 1 species
UACGUAGGGUGCAGGCGUUAAUCGGAAUUACUGGGCGUAAAGCGUGCGCAGGCGGUUUCUUAAGUCAGAUGUGAAAGCCCCGGGCUUAACCUGGGAACUGCGUUUGAAACUGGGAGACUGGAGUGUGGCAGAGGGGGGUGGAAUUCCACGUGUAGCAGUGAAAUGCGUAGAUAUGUGGAGGAACACCGAUGGCGAAGGCAAUCCCCUGGACCUGUACUGACGCUCAUGCACGAAAGCGUGGGGAGCAAACAGG